rnacentral:rRNA from 1 species
ACUUAAAUUGAAGAGUUUGAUCAUGGCUCAGAUUGAACGCUGGCGGCAGGCCUAACACAUGCAAGUCGGGCGGUAGCACAGAGAGCUUGCUCUCGGGUGACGAGCGGCGGACGGGUGAGUAAUGUCUGGGAAACUGCCUGAUGGAGGGGGAUAACUACUGGAAACGGUAGCUAAUACCGCAUAACGUCGCAAGACC